UGCCAGCCGCCGCGGUAAUACGUAGGCUCCAAGCGUUGUUCGGAAUUACUGGGCGUAAAGCGAGUGUAGGCGGUCCGUCAAGUUGGUUGUGAAAUCUCCUGGCUCAACUGGGAGGGUGCAAUCAAAACUGACGGACUAGAGUCUGGGAGAGGAGAGUGGAAUUCCUGGUGUAGCGGUGAAAUGCGUAGAUAUCAGGAGGAACACCGGUGGUGAAGACGGCUCUCUGGACCGGUACUGACGCUGAGACUCGAAAGCGUGGGGAGCAAACAGGAUUAGAUA
rnacentral:rRNA from 1 species